rnacentral:ncRNA from 2 species
GGGGUGUCUCCCCGUCCCGGCACAACAUGUAUGCUCAUGCUCGCUGUCGCCGCAGGGGAAUCCGGUGCGAAUCCGGAACUGUCCCGCAACGGUGUAUUCGCACGCGUGUGCCCGUAUGGCCGUGUACAUGCGUGCGUCAGUCCGAGUACCUGCCGACAGUGCACCCGGCCG